AAUCAACGCUGGCGGCGUGCCUCAGACAUGCAAGUCGAACGAUUAAAGCUCCCUUCGGGGAGUGCAUAGAGUGGCGCACGGGUGAGUAACACGUAAGUAAUCUACCCCCGAGUGGGGAAUAACAGUCGGAAACGACUGCUAAUACCGCAUAAUGCAGCGGCACCGCAAGGGGACAGUUGUUAAAGGAGCAAUCCGCUUGAGGAGGAGCUUGCGGCAGAUUAGCUAGUUGGUAAGGUAAUGGCUUACCAAGGCUACGAUCUGUAUCCGGUCUAAGAGGACGGUCGGACACACUGACACUGAAUAACGGGUCAGACUCCUACGGGAGGCAGCAGUCGGGAAUUUUGGGCAAUGGGCGAAAGCCUGACCCAGCAACGCCGCGUGAAGGAUGAAGUAUUUCGGUAUGUAAACUUCGAAAGAAUGGGAAGAAUAAAUGACGGUACCAUUUAUAAGCUCCGGCUAACUACGUGCCAGCAGCCGCAGUAAUAC
rnacentral:rRNA from 1 species